ACGGAGGUUCCUAGCGUUGUUCGGAAUUACUGGGCGUAAAGGGAGCGCAGGCGGAUCGAUAAGUCUAAAGUGGAAUCCCGGGGCUCAACCUCGGACGUGCUUUGGAUACUGCCGGUCUUGAGUUCGUGAGAGGAAGGCGGAAUUCAGGGUGUAGCGGUGAAAUGCUUAGAUAUGAUACAGAACACCAAUUGCGAAGGCAGGUGACUAAGCCGUAACUGACGCUGAGGCUCGAAAGCGUGGGGAUCAAACAGGA
rnacentral:rRNA from 1 species